UUCCGCAGCUUUGCAGAGAUUUUUAAACGCACGUUACGCAAGAAAAUCUUCAUUAGGUCAUUUUCAGCUUCCUGGGUUAUUCUGGUUAUCAUCUGACCUCCAGGACCAAUAACCAUUUUCUGCAAGAAAGAAAGAUUAAAAGAAAACAUAGGAGGAAUCAGAGAGCUCACCAUAUGAGUGUCUUUCUUCACGUAUAGUUUGAUGGAUAUGUCGAGUACCCCAUCCUCAGACUCCUUCCAGAUUUCUAUUUGCUGUAAAAAGACCAAAAUAAUAAGGGAAAAAAAGAAAACUAAUAAUAUUCCAGCAAACAUGAAAUAAUACAAAAAGGUCAAUUCAUAUUUUGAGUAAUGGAAAAGAUUAUGAAAGAUGGAUGGACGAAUGGACAGAUGAAUAUAUGACUUAAGUUUUGUGAAGAAAUUCCGAAUUUAUAAAUAAUGAGAAUCAUAUUGGAAAUAAAAUAGAUACUGAUCCAGUUUCAAUGAUUUGGAAUUUUCUCCUGAGUAUUUAUGCUCUCAGAAGAGUGUUUUCUAACAGGAGAACAACAAAUUAAUGAUGAAAAAUGGACCAGAACAAGAAAAUGAGAAUAUCGGAAAUGAGCGAAUGAGACUGCAUUUUACUAUAUUUUAAAAUGUAAUUUAUUCCUGUGAUGACAGCUGAAUUUUCAGCAUCAAUACUCCAGUCUUCAGUGUCACAUGAUCCUUCAGAAAUCAUUCUAAUAUGCUUAUUUGGUGCUCAUUUCAUAUUACAUUUCUUAUUAUUAUCAAUGUAUUGCUGUUUGUAAUGCUGCUUAACAUUUUUUCAUAAUUGUAAGAUUAAUACAACAGAUUCAAAAGAACACCAUUUAUUUGAAAUAGAAAUAUUUUGUAACAAUGUAAAAGUCUUUACUAUUUAAUGUAUCCUUGCUGAAUAAGAGGGGAAAAAAAUUAAUUAUUUAAUUACUAAAUGGUAGUGUAUUUUAUAUAUUUUAUAUAUUUCAACUAUAUUUCAACUUGCACAUUUCACAAUAUUACUGUUUUUACUGUAUUUUUGAUUAAAUAAAUGCAGCCUCGGUGAGCAUAAGAGACAUGAACUCCAAA